ensembl:lncRNA
AUGUAUACUGGUAUUCUUGAUGAAAGUUUCUCCUUAAACACUGUCUGUCAUUGCCUCUGCACAGGCUCCGCCCUCCAAGGCAAUCCAUGCUCGCCCAUAGGAUUUGUCAGAGAGCCCUCAAUCCAAACGUCCUUCCUGGUUCCAGCAGGAUUCCUUGUGCCCAUUAGGGAAACCAGAAGGAUUGUCCCUGUUUAUUUGCUAUCAGAGAGGCCUUUGAACUCCAGGAAAGCUGCCAUCUUGUUUUUGCUCACUCCUCGUAUGCUUAGUGUCUGCAGCAUGAAACACUGGUUUUGCUGGAAGUCUUCUUUCCAAAGAAAUCCAUGUACCAGGCCAGUGUUCCUGCAUGCUAUGAAGAUCCCAAAUGAUACUAGCUGUCUUCGUGGGAACUGGAAAAGCACAGACACUUCUCAAAGUAAUUUCUACAAUGAAGAGUUUAUGUGAGGUUGAAGCAUUAGACCAAACAAACUUUCCUAGAACUAUGAAGUAACAACAGUAUGUUUCUCAAAGGCUUACUCUAUUUCAAUGCCAGUUACUCAAUCAAAAAUACAUUUUGUUGGGCAUGUUCUAAACGAUGAUUUCUAUUCUUUUCUAACCACUUCCAAUGUCAAAAUGAACAAAAGGAUGAAAGCAUGGUAAUGUGGAAUGCACAGGCUGCACAACACCAGGCAUGACCCUAACGGGGCCCAGGACUCUCGAUGACAUCAGGUCAGCGUAGCUCACCGGCUGCGACACACAGCCCUCUGCGGUGUGGGACUUUGGUAAAGGGGGCACCCUGUGCCUAUGACUGGCCAGGGGCAUAUAGGAAAUCUCUGCUCCCUUCCUCUCAUGUUUGCUAUAAACCUGAACAAAACUAAUCUAAAAAUGGUCUUUAAAAAUAUUCAAAAUGGGAUCACACAAAGUGAGUUUAGCUUAUAGUUAAAGGAACAGAAUGCUCAGGGUAGCUCUAGAGAGUUCACUGAUUCUGUUUGCAAUCCUCCAAUCUAAAAGUCGCUAAGAAAUGAGCAUUGACUUUUGUGUGAAUGGUGAGAAGCAACCCAGCAGCCAGUCUGAUCUAACUUGAACCCAUGUAUAGCAAAAUGACCCCAAACUGACAUGGGGUAUGCACAGUUGUUAUUUAUCCCACUUAGUGUGAGUGUUCACACAUGUUUUUGCAGUCAUAUUAAUGGAUGUCCCUGUAGGCCCCACUGGUGAUGGCAGAUAAUAUAUGGAUAUGUGACCAUAUUAUCUUCCAAAUUCCUAACAGUCCUUACCAAAUACAUCUCACACCAAAAGGCCAAGGAAUUGUGGAACAAAUGCAUUAGAAGUUAGAAAGCAGGGAAGGAAGAAAAGAAAGUGGAAAAUAGUGGGUUCUGUUCUUUCCCAUCCCUGAUUGCUUUAGGAGAUGUCAGUCUUAGAGUUUCAUGCGGAUACUUCUUAUAAUGCUCACUUUUUAAUCGAAAUUUAUUUUCAGUAGUAAAGUGCAAAAACCUAGUAAUAUAAUUGUGACACCCAUUCAGAUUGCCUUAAAGGUUUUAUAUGAAUGAAUGCGUGUAGCUCCUGGUUUUGCUUGCUUAUUUGUGUGAGUCCACUCCAACAAAGUAGCCCAUAAAUCUUUCUUUCCUCUCAUUCUGGAUGGAAAUGCAAGAAAUGUGAGGCUAAAGCUUUAAAGCGUAAAUUAUACUCACAUGAAUGAAAUGAAUGACUGGGAAGGAAGGAAGAAAAGAAGGAAGGAAGGAAAGAGGAAAGGAGGGAGGGAGGGAAGGAGGGAAGGGAUGGAGGGAGGGAAGGGAGGAAGGAGGAAGUGAGUAAGGGGGGGGCAAGGAAGGAAAAAGAGAGAAAGGAAAAAGGGGAAGAGGGAGGAAGGAAUGGAAGGAGGAGGAUAUUCAUUCUGUAGGCUCCAUAUUAUAGUGAUCCACAGCACUUGAGAAAUCUGAAAAGAAACAAUGUCAUAGGCACAUUCCAAUAUUCCAAAACUGCAAUCCAAUUACGUAGAAGUAUAAAUUUAAAUCCAAUUCAUUUGGGAGAAGACACUUAAAUAUCCUAUAUUUUUGUUUACAGCUGAUAUCUAUAAAAUCUGCUACAUUACAUAGAUCCGUAUUAUGGAGAUUAUAUACACAAAUAUCUUAUUACUUAUGCAUAAAACAUGAUUUGUUGGGGGAUAUAAGCCCUGGCUUUCUCAGGUAUCACUGCUACUUGAUUGUUCUGAGUAUUGGCUUUCUGACAGGGUUUGGAAUGAAGCCAUUUUUAUUAAUUUAGUUAUUUUUGCUGAUAUAAAAGGCCGUCUAUCACGUUAAUGAUGUAUCGGUCUGCGGUCCCACCGAACAAUAAUUACAGAAUGUUCCUAAUAGUAAAUCAUUUGUCACAAUCACAGCUCAGUGCAACAACCCUUGUGAAGCAGGAGAAGACAUUAUCUGAAUAGCAAUACACCUUUAUGAGAACCGAUUAGAGGGACCCUAUACAGAGCACGGGCCAAGAGCUUUCAGUCCAGAGCUGUCUUUCCCCAAACCUCAGCUUAGUGACCUGCUCACUUUUCCCCAAGGUUAGCCUUUUAGACACAAUCAAAUGCAACCUUCUGCUUUUAAAUGAUCAUGUUGCAGGAAGACAAAAACACAGGUUUUAUGAAGCAUUUUCAAUGGAAAUUGUAAGUAAAGCUUAUACUGAGGAAAAUGAUGCAGGGGUGCACACCUCCUGCUUCUCAAUUUUCUUUCUGUUUUAAGAAAACAUGGGUAGAAAUCCUAUUUCUGUCCCGGAGUGAAUCUGUAAACUUCAAAUUAGUGUUAAAUGAGAUAGCUUCUUGUAAGUGCCCUCUUCCUACAGACACUCAGAACUUCUUUUAUUAUCUGGAAUUCUAGAGGUAUCCAAGGAUACCAGCAAGCAAGCUGUACUUACUUUCCUAGUGUUAAAUUGAAAAUGCAAUUAAAUCGUGCAGUGGAAUGCAUUUUAUUUUUUAAAAAAAUUAUUUCUUUAUUUGAAAUGCAGAGUUAUGGAGAGAGGGAGAGGGAGAGGGCGGGAAAAGGAGAGGGAGACAGAGAGGGAGGAGAGGGAGAGAAAAAGAGAUAGAUUUUCCAUCCACUGGUUCACGCCCCAAAUGGCCACAAUGACCGGGGGAAGCCAAGAGCCAGUAGUUUCACCUGGGUCUCCUUUGUGGGUGGCAGAGGCCCAGGCACUUGGGCCAUCUUCUGCUGCUUUGCCAGGUGCAUUAGCAGGGAGCCAGAUUGGAAGUGGAGCGGCCGGACACGCGCCCAUAUGUGAUGUUGGUACUGCAUGCAGCAGCUUAAUCCGCUAUGCCACAAUGCUAGCUCCAAAUACAUGUGUUCUUACGGGUUCUUGACAGCCACAGAUAACAAGAAAGAAGUCCUUGACCAACACUGGAGGUCAGAUUGCAGUGACUCGUGGAGGACCAGAAAGGUGGCUUUUGCUGAGCCCUUGCCGUCUCCUUCCCUCACAUUGACCACAGAACCUGGAUGCAGAAAUUAGCUGCUGCUUUCAGAGAAACCCGGUUCAAGCACACACGCAUCCUUGACACUGACACACACUGUUUUUCCAAAGGGGAGAAGUCUUGUAAAAAAAAAAAAAAGAAUCAAAUGGCUUCCUCUUGCCCCAACCCUGCUGUCCCUUACCCCUAUGUUCUGUCCAGAAGAAAAAUCCCUCAGCCGCAAUGGUUGUUUUUAUUAAAUUCUCCUCAAUAAAAAGCUCAGGCAGGAUUUAUUAGGUACUCA